rnacentral:lncRNA from 10 species
CUGGGAUUAUAGGUGUGAGCCACCAUGCCCCGCCCAAAGGGAGAAUGUUCUAAUGCAGCCCUGUGGGAUGACUUGGCUGCAGGAAGUUACAUAAAGGUGACUUAGGUGUUACAGUGACAUGAGAGACCUAAAGGCUGUCAAAGACUGUGACCUCUACCCCAUGGAGGAUGCCCAUCGCCUGAGGAUGAACCCCCACUCCAGAUCAAAAUAUAAAGGAGCAGGGUUGCAGCUCACCUGGGCUGGGGAUUACCCGGACUCUUCAGAAAACAAAACUUACACUUUGUCAUGGAGCAGCUAGAAAUUCACCUCAACAUACUCAAUAAUUCAGCAUGUUUGAGCACAUAUUCCAUGCCAGGCACAGUGCUGGAACAGGGACAGCUGGAACAAAGUGGGAGACCCUCUAGCCACCAGGAUCCCAGAGAAGAAGCGAAGUGACUUGCCUAGAACACCAACCAAAAAUGACGGAGCCAAAAGCUAAAGGAAAUCUGACAAAGCAAUGAGUCUAUAGUGGAAGAAAUUAUUAGCCUCAGGUGGACAUCAUUUGGAUCCAACCUACAUCACCUACUGGCUGUAGGACCAUGAGCAAGUUAUUUAAGCUCUCUGUCCCAGUGUCUUCAUUCACAAAUUGAAAUGGACCAUGCCCACCCCUCGGGGGGUUUGUGACAGUUAAGCGAAAUAACACAUAAAUGGCGCUCAAUACAUACGUGUAGCAUGUAAGUAGAACUCAAUAAAGACUCAUUCCUUUAGUUGACAGCUUAUUCAAAUCUAUCAUAGUUUUUGUUGUUGUUGUUGUUGUUGCUCUUGCUUUGUUUUGUUUUUUAAACCACAGGGCCAGAGCUGGGUCAAGGAGGAAGGAGGAGAAGGAAGAGCAUCCUUUAGCCGCCCUCUGACUCUGCCUUUUCGGGUCUCGCUCCUGGCCUCACUGUAGACAUCAUCCCCAGGCACACCUCCUCCGCACCUCCUUCCUGCUAUAGAGUACAGUCCCACAGUGUCGCUUGCCCCAGGCUAGAGUGCAGCAGUGUGAUCAUAGCUCACUGCCAUCUUGAAUUCCUCUGCUCAAGUCAUCCUCCCACAUCAGCCUCCCAAGCAGCUGGGACUACAGGUGUGCACCAUCAUGGCCAGCUAACUUUGUACUGUCUGUAGAGACGGAAUUUUGCUAUGUUACCCAGGCUGGUCUCAAACCCGAGGGCUCAAGCAAUCCUCCUGCCUCAGCCUCCCAAAGUCCUGGGAUUAAAGGCAUGAGUCACCAUGCCCAGCCAGUGGUUGAAACUCUUAUUAUGGCCAUUCUGCGGAUGAGAAGACUGAGUCAUCAGGAGGCAGGGCUUGCCAAGGUCACUGUGUUGGGGAAACACAGUCAGGAUAUGAACUCAGGCUCUUGGGGUCCCUGCUGGUCACUGUCACCCCGUGGCCCUUCUGAAGAAUGUCACAGGAAAGCAAAGCUGAGAGGGCCUCGUGAACUCAUCCAUGCCUGUCUCCCACACUGACCUGCACCUUUGGUCCCAGAGGUGCUUAUGAAAGACAGAUGCUCAGAUCCCUCCUUAGAGAGUCAGAUUCAGGAGGUCUGAUGUGAAUCCCAGAGACCUGGAAUUUUACUGAUGGCCCAGAUAAUUUUUAUGGUCAGAUACUGACCUAAUUCCACCCAGUUUCCCACUAAAUUUUGUAAGUGAGGAAAGCAAUGCAGAAGAGUUACAGGAAGGCCCAGUGUUACAUGCCCAGGUCAUGGCCCAGGGCCAAGCCAGCCCCAAAGGUGGGACCCUGGUUCUCUUAGCCUUCCCUGACACCUGUCACCCUGGCUGCUGCUCCAGGGAACCCUCUCUCGGGAGAAGCUUGAGCAAAUGUUGAUCUUCCCAGAACAGGGGUCUACAGAAUCCAGAGGUGUGGAAACAGUGGGAUGCUAAUAGCUGUUAGAAUUUUGGUUCAUCCAUAGAUCCAAACUUUGAAGCAUUGAGACAAAAGAUAGCUGUGCUUUGAUAGAGAAAAUAGAUAAGAAAAGGGUGUGAAAUCUGAGUGUCACAACAGAGGCAGAAGCAGAUGGAAACUAGGUUUCUGGAGUAGGGGAGGUGGGGACCAACUUUGUUUCUCCUGCUUUUACCUUGUCCUAGUUGGAAUCAUCUCUCCUCAUCCCAGUUACAAAGCCAGAGAGGAUUUACAGUCAAAGCAUCUACACCAGCAGUCCCUCUUACUGACACUGAUCAGACAGGGAGGUAGAACUGAUGGAAAACACAGCACAGCAUCAGAAGCAUAGCUUGGGAGCUUAUUAGCAGCAAAGUGCUGUUCUCUGCGGCAUUUUCUGGUGCUCCAGAAAUACAUCCCCUUGGAUGGAGAUACUACCGGGCCAUCUAAUGUGAAAUUUUCUGCUGGAGUGGUUAACGCUGGAGAUUUCCUUGAAAAACAUCGCCACUGAGAGAGGCUGGCUUCAAGUUUCAUAUAUAUGUAUAUGUAUCUGUGUGUGUGUGUGUGUAUGUGUGUGUCCAUGUGUGUGUAUAUAUAUUUUUAUAUAUAAAUACAUGUGUAUUUAUAUAUAUAAAUAAAUUUAUAAUGUAAUAUAUAAAUAUUUAUAUAUAAAUAA